rnacentral:rRNA from 1 species
GUCGUCAGCUCGUGUCGUGAGUAUGGUUUAGGGUUAACGUCCCGACAACGGGCGCAACCCCUAUCUUUAGUUGCCAUCAUUGAGUUGGGCACUCUAAAGAGACUGCCGGUGUCAAACCGGAGGAAGGUGGGGAUGACGUCAAGUCCUCAUGGCCUUUAUGACCAGGGCUACACACGUACUACAAUGGCCGGUACAAAGGGCAGCGACACAGCGAUGUGAAGCGAAUCCCGAAAAGCCGGUCUCAGUCCGGAUUGGAGUCUGCAACUCGACUCCAUGAAGUUGGAAUCGCUAGUAAUCGCGGAUCAGCACGCCGCGGUGAAUACGUUCCCGGGCCUU